UGCAAUGGAAGGCAUUUAAAAACUGCAUGGAUGAACUACAACAAUUGUUCAUCCCAGUUUGGCAAAGGAAUAAAUCAGGGAGGUUAGUGCAUCCGUGGAUAACAAGGGAAAUCAGGGAUAGUAUCAAAACAAAAGACAAAGCGUACAAAUUAGCCA